rnacentral:rRNA from 1 species
GAUGAACGCUGGCGGCGUGCUUAACACAUGCAAGUCGAACGGAAAGGCCGAGGCUUGCUUCGGUACUCGAGUGGCGAACGGGUGAGUAACACGUGGGUGAUCUGCCCUGUACUUCGGGAUAAGCUUGGGAAACUGGGUCUAAUACCGGAUAUGACGAUCUCUUGGAUGGGGUUGUGGAAAGCUUUUGCGGUGUGGGAUGAGCUCGCGGCGUAUCUGCUUGUUGGUGGGGUGAUGUCGUAUCAAGACGUCGACGGGUAGCCGGCCUGAGAGGGUGUACGGGCACACUGGGAGUGAGAGACGGGCCAGAGUCCUACGGGGGGCAGCAGUGGGGAAUAUUGCACAAUGGGCGCAGGCCUGAGGCGGCGACGCCGCGUGGGGGAUAACGGCCUUCGGGUUGUAAAAACCGUUCGCAAUCGACGAAGCCUUUUGGUGACGGUAGGUGGAGAAGAAGCACCGGCUAACUACGUG